rnacentral:rRNA from 1 species
CCUACGGGUGGCUGCAGUGGGGAAUAUUGGACAAUGGGCGAAAGCCUGAUCCAGCCAUGCCGCGUGUGUGAAGAAGGCCUUCGGGUUGUAAAGCACUUUCAGUGGGGAAGAAAGCCUUGGGGCUAAUACCCUCGAGGAAGGACAUCACCCACAGAAGAAGCACCGGCUAACAUCCGUGCCAGCAGCCGCGGUAAUACGGAGGGUGCGAGCGUUAAUCGGAAUUACUGGGCGUAAAGCGCGCGUAGGCGGUCUGAUAAGCCGGUUGUGAAAGCCCCGGGCUCAACCUGGGAACGGCAUCCGGAACUGUCAGGCUAGAGUGCAGGAGAGGAAGGUAGAAUUCCCGGUGUAGCGGUGAAAUGCGUAGAGAUCGGGAGGAAUACCAGUGGCGAAGGCGGCCUUCUGGACUGACACUGACGCUGAGGUGCGAAAGCGUGGGUAGCAAACAGGAUUAGAUACCCCAGUAGUC